UACGGGGGGGGCAAGCGUUGUUCGGAAUUACUGGGCGUAAAGGGCGCGUAGGCGGGUGGACAAGUCUCUCGUGAAAGCCCACGGCUCAACCGUGGAAUUGCGGGAGAUACUGUCUGUCUUGAGUCCGGGAGAGGAGGGUGGAAUUCCCAGUGUAACGGUGAAAUGCGUAGAUAUUGGGAGGAGCACCGGUGGCGAAGGCGGCUCUCUUGACCGGUACUGACGCUGAGGCGCGAAAGCUAGGGGAGCAAACGGG
rnacentral:rRNA from 1 species